AGGAAACAACUCCAAGAAUACAUUAAUCUAAACCCACUACACUUCUAAAUCUCAAAGAACAGAGAGCAAAGGAAGCUGGAGAGAGGCCAGAAGUGACCAACUUUAUUCCCCCACUCUGUAUUGUACACCCCCCCCUCCACACACACACACACACCCGGUCUAAUCUUCCCUACCCUACUAGGUGGUUUAAGAAUUUUAUCCUUUCUUCAGACUGGAAAAGGAAGUAGGGGCUGGAACUAGGUGUAUACAAGUUGUUGAAAAGGCUUUCCGUGGAUUUUGAGGACUGAGCUAAGAGUAUGAUUUUUAUAGAACAACCAGAGCCUCUAAUUUGAGAAUGAAGGUCCACACUCAUUCUCUGGCCUGAGUCCUAUCAGCAGAAUCACUGAGGCCAAGACUAAGAAAUAGAUAACUAAUCUCUUCACAUGGGGAGGCUAGUAAGUAAAUAAUGCAAACACCGAGUUCUGCCAAGAGGAAGAAACCUUUUAAGCCAGGCAACUGCUGAACACAUUGCCAAAAAGGAGAGGCUUCCACAUUAAUCACUACAGCUUUCAAAAAAGUAAAUCAGGUUCAAGAGCAGUCAUUCUCCUGCAGAAUGUCAGUGGCAGGCAAAUUGGCCUCCAAGCGCUGUGAAAUUAGAUCAGCCGUUCUGACGUUCUCAUUUCCAUCAGAUUCCUUUGAGGACCUUGCACAUUUAUCAGAUAACCGGACCAAUCUCGGACACUCCUUCAGAACCCACAGAUCUGUGAUUUACUACGUUCUCCCAGUGAUUCUGACACACGCCCAAGGUGGAACCCCUUCUUUCUGGCUCACAUACCUACUCCGGUUCCUAAAUGUUGACCUUAGUCCAGUUUCUUAAAUUGUGAAUCCAGUUCUCUCAUCUCUAAAAUGGAGAUAGUAAAUAGUACCUUAUCCUGGGUCUACUGUGAGUAUUGGAUAAAAUAGUACAGGUGAAGAGCAAAGCAGCAUGAGUGUCACACAGUAAGCACUUAGGAAAUGUCUGUGCUUAUUAUUACUCCUACGAAAGAGGCUCGCUGCCCCAUGGAUAGCUGCAGAUACGAAAUGCCCUUCAACACUGUAACCGGAAAUUCUAUAUGAUUCAUGCUCAUUGUAAAUCUGGAUUGCUGUAUCAGCCAUUUCCUGAAAGAGAUAAUUAUGACGUGCUUGUUAAUAUUACUUUUAUUUGUUGAAAUACUCUUAGAGUGUUUGAUCCUCAGGAAGUUAUCAUCACCAAUGAUUUUAUGAGUGUACUGAGAGUAAUUUUUAGGUUCCAAGCGAGAGAAAAGCAAAUAUGAAUGCUUCUCUGCUGUUCUGAGAUCAAAGAGCCUGAGUGACGUGAUCACGUCCCUACAAAAAAUGCCAAACGCCAACCUGCUGAUAAGGCUGCUGCGGGUGCCUUACAUCUGUGUGCCUCCCUCAAUGCCUACCCCGGCUGUCUGUUGACAAGGAAUAUUUUGAAGUGUCUAAGAAUUAUUUUAUGACUCUAAUAAUCAUUGUUUCUUUAGUGACUCAGGUCUACACCUGUAACACUCAGGUGUUAC
rnacentral:lncRNA from 1 species